rnacentral:rRNA from 1 species
AUUGAACGCUGGCGGCAUGCUUUACACAUGCAAGUCGAACGGUAACAGGUUAAGCUGACGAGUGGCGAACGGGUGAGUAAUGCAUCGGAACGUGCCCGGUCGUGGGGGAUAACGCAGCGAAAGCUGUGCUAAUACCGCAUACGAUCUGAGGAUGAAAGCGGGGGACCGUAAGGCCUCGCGCGAUCGGAGCGGCCGAUGUCAGAUUAGGUAGUUGGUGGGGUAAAGGCCUACCAAGCCGACGAUCUGUAGCUGGUCUGAGAGGACGACCAGCCACACUGGGACUGAGACACGGCCCAGACUCCUGCGGGAGGCAGCAGUGGGGAAUUUUGGACAAUGGGCGCAAGCCUGAUCCAGCAAUGCCGCGUGCAGGAAGAAGGCCUUCGGGUUGUAAACUGCUUUUGUACGGAGCGAAAGGGCUCUCUCUAAUACAGGGGGCUCAUGACGGUACCGUAAGAAUAAGCACCGGCUAACUACGUGCCAGCCGCCGCGGUAAAAC